rnacentral:lncRNA from 1 species
GGAGAUUACCUCAUAAAAAAUCACAUUCCUGGAAAAGAAUAUUUUCCUUGUAGUGAUAUCAAAUAACACAUAAAUUUUAGUGUCAGGUUUAAAGUUAAGAAAGAUAACUUUUCUUGCUCUAGCAUCAAGUUUGAUUCUAGGAGUAGUAAGUGUAUUUGCAAAGCAAAGUGAUCUAAAGUCUUUGAGGUUAGAGUAAUUAAGAACAUUAUUGUGAAUAACUUCAUAGGGUAUCUUAUUAUUCAAUAGAGAAGUUGGUAACCUAUUGAUAAGAUAUAGAGAAUGUAAGACAAUAUAGAACCAGAAAACCUUUGGCAAAUUUGUUUGAAAUAGAAGAGCUCUAGUUACAUUUAGUAUGUGUUAUUGCUUCCUUUCUACUAAUACAUUUUGCUAAGGUGUCUCUGCACAUGUCAUUUAAUGGAUAAUGCCUUUGGAAGCAUAAAAAGAAAUCAUAAAAAACUCUGGUCUAUUAUCACUUUUGAUUGCUUUAAUUCUAGUAUUAAAUUGAGUAAGAACCUGAUUAAUAAAAGAUUGAAGAUGAUUUGAAGCCUCAUGUUUAUGCUUCAUGAGAAAAAUCCAAGUAUGUCUAGAUAGAUCAUUAACAACUGUAAGAAAAUAUCUAUAUCCAUGUAUAGCAGUUAUUGAGUAGGGACCCCAAAUGUUAACAUAUAGAAGAUCAAAACUAGCUUUGGACUUUAAUGUGCUAACAAAAGGCAACUUUCUUUGCUUUGCAAAGUGAUGGAUAUUAAAAAUAUAAUUAGAAAGAUCAAUAUUUGGAAUUGGUAAAGAUGUUGUUCUAGCAAUAGAUGAGGGUCCUAGUCUAUAGUGUCAUAGAUUGAAAGAUGAGUUAACAAAAUUAUAUGCUGAAUCAGAUUUGCAAGAAAGAGAAAAAAACAAUUGUAUCUAGUAAAGAAACUAUAGGAUCUAUCAUAGCAUAUAGGCCCCUUUGAAUUUUAGCUAAACUAAUUCUCUUUAAGGAAUUCAAAUCUUGGAUUAGACUUUGAUCCUGAUGAAAGAGGAGAGAGCAUUGAAGAGAUAAUGUUAACUUGCUUACUAAGAUCAUAUUGAAUUGGAAAUGCACAAUACCGGAAAGACAAGCAUUUAGUUGACUACCAUCUGGAAGCUUGACAGAAAUUGGUUUAAUUUUCUUAUAAGAAGUGAAAGAAGAUAACUGAUAAUAAAUAUAGUCUAUGGCCCCUGUGUCAAGGAGCCAGGAGUUGUCAUUGGAUGAAUAUGACAUAACAAAGUGAUUACCUUGGCUUGAAUGAGUCUCAACACAUGAAUCAGCUUGAACAUGACUGGUGCUCACGUUAUUGUUGACAUGAAUAUCUUUGUUAUUAUUGGUUUGCUGGAGUAAAGCCAUCAACCGUUGAUAUUGCUUAGGAGAAAGAACACAUCCAGAAUCUGAUAAAAUUUUGUUAGACACAAUAUUCUCAUUAGGAAUGGUGUUGUAGCCAAUUGUAACAUUAUUUGUAGUACUAUUCUUGAACUUGAAUCCAGGAGGGAAGCCAUGUUUCCUAUAACAUGUGUCUUCAAUAUGUUUCAUUUUUCUAUAGUAAGUAUAGACUUUAUUUUUUUGAUUUCCACUUCCAAACUUCCUAUUGUUAUUAUCAAUAUUUCUGCCAUGGAUAGGUCUCUGGUAGCCAUGUGAAUCAGUCUUACUUCUUAGUACUUUAGGUUCAGAAAUAAUUCCUAUAGAAAUCUGCCUUUCUUGCUGGACUACUAAAGAAAAGACCUUGUUAAUUAAUGGUAGAGGUUCUAUCAACAUAAUCUGAGAUCUCAUGUUAUUGAAUUGUUCAUUCCACCCCUUCAAGAACCUUGAUUACAUCAUCAUUCCGCCUAUAGGUCUGAAUAGUAGUUAUAGCACUACAAUCACAUUUAACAAUGCAAGAACGUUGUGGAAUAUGUUUAAAAUUAUCUAAUUCAUCCCAUAAGAUCUUCAAAUGCAUAAAGUAAUCUGUGACAGAAAAUUCACCUUGCUUGAAUGCAUAGAUUUCUUCUUGAAGAUCAAAAAUUCGAUAAACAUCUCCUUAACAGAAUUUGUCCUUCAAAUCUCUCUAAAUAUCUAUUGUUGCAUCAAUCUAGAGAAUGUUCUUUGCUAUCGACUGAGACAAAGAAUGGAUAAUCCAUGAUACUACUAUGGUGUUGCAUCUUUGCCAAACAGGAAGCAUCGAAUUAGUACUUGUUGGCUUUAGAAAGGUUCCAUCUAUGAAUCUCACCUUGUUCUUGGAUUGAAGUGACAUGGUCAUAGCUUUGACCCAUGAACGAUAAUUUUGUUUAGAUAAUACUGGAGAGACAAGAACUAGUGCAUGAUUUUCGUUAGGCGAAGAAAGUAUGAGUUAGAAGGGUUAGUCAAGUGAUUUGAUAUUUGAUUGCUGGAGGUAGCUAUUGACGAGGGAGGGAAAAAAGAUCAAGAAAAAGGCAGAGGAGGAAAGAAAGAGAAAAAAAGAAAAGAAAACUUACGAGAAUGAAUCAUGGAGCAACGACAUUGCUUCAAUACUAUAAUAAGAAAAUUGAGAAGAAUGUUUUCUUUGAUAUUUUUCCAUUUAUACGUCUAUUAAACAUAUGUAUACGUCUAUUAAACAUAUGUAGGAACAGUAGCUGGAUAAUUAAUUCAGUAGUGUUGGUUAUAAAAGAUUACAAUAAAUUUAACUAACUAGCUUUUAUUUACUUCUAGAUUAUAUUUUCUAUUCUUUUAGAUUAACUGAUUCUUUAGUGUUUCCUAAUACACUGCACUUCAAUAUCAAAAUUCAAAUUUAGCUCACCUAAACGUGGCAGAGAGAAUUCACUUUCUUUAUUUUAAGAAAAAUAAUUUACUUUCACUAAUUUAGUUAACUUAUUUAUUGAGAAUAUGAAUUUUUUUUUUAAAAAAAGUUAUUUGAUGUAAAGAAAGUCUAAGUAGUAUUUUACUAGACAAUAAUAAAAUUUUACAGUUAAUAAAAAAUUAAGAUAAAAUCAUAAUAAAAAAUGAUAGAUAGUUACAGUAACGUUGAUCAUUUCAUCAACAAACUUUUUUAAUUAGAAGUAAGAGAGAUGGUUAAUUCUAAUAUAUUUUGAUGUUAAAAAUAAACUUUUUGAUAUCAAGAAUGAUCAUACUUUUCAUAAUGAACUAAUUUAAUGAAAAAAAUUAAUUUAUAUACUGAUGAUUUGAAAUUUAGAAGAUGAUAGAAUUUAGGGUAUGUGUGUGUAAGUUUUUUCUGAAUAGUUUACGCCCCAUUCCUUUAUUUCUUUUUUCUUUUUGUUCUCUAUUGACGUAUAAUCGUCACUCUAUUAUAGUGCACAUGUCGCUAUUAUACAGAGUUAUACAUAUAUACGUGUUGUCCAUUUUUUUAUUAUCAGGUUACUAUUUAAUUCUCUUCGGCGCCCGUACUGACAUGGUCUUAAACAUGGAGGGGUCUAUUCCACACUGACCCAUUAAAUCAAGUAAGCUGGAUUAUUCUCUAUUGAGCUUGAAUCCUAUUCUACUCGACUUAUUCGAGCAUGAUCUAGGCUGCAUGGUACAGAACAGACUUGCAUAUUGAUCUAUGAUAAGUUACGAUAUGAUUUUUCUACAUAUUAAGGUAAUUAGUGGUUUAUGAAAUUCUUAGAGGAUCAUUUUAUUGUAUUUUUAAUUUUAAAACGAUUUGUUUUUUAAAUAAAAUAAUUUAAAUAAUUUUUUAUGAAAUUAUAUAUUAUUUUAUUUUUUUACAAAUAAUUUUUUAAAAAAUUGAAAUUUUUAUUUAAAUUAAAAAUAAUAAAAAUAUAAAAUAAAUUAAAUUAUUUGCGAAAUCCUAAAUACGAAACAGUUUGGUUACGAAAUAAUUUUGAUUAUUUGUUGAAAUAUAAGUAAUAUCCCUUUUUUUUUUUUUUUUGGAAAAAAAGCUCUAUUCAUAUGACAUGACAGCAAACAUGACAAAUAAACAAUGUUUUCCGAUGGGUGUUGGAUAGUCAAAACAGGAACAUGCGACUCCAUAUUUUAUUUUAUCAUGAUUCGAUUUAGUACAUAUAUAUAUUUUUAAUAGGAAGUGAUCGUUCCCCAACUAAUACCUAUUAAAUAUGGAUAGCCAGGACCGAAUUUUAAACUAAAAUUGAUUUAAUUUAAUUUUGAUUAUAAUUAUUUUGGAUAGAAUUAAAUUUAAAUUAAAUCAGGUAUAAUCAGUUUAUUUUUUUUUAGUUCAAGACUAAAAAUGGAUAAACUAUAUGAGGAGAGUAGAUCUCUACCUCUCCCACCUACUCCCCACCUCUCCCAAUUUUAGAUUUUGUUUACUUUACAAUUAUCUAUUUUCUGAAAAAUAUAUUUCCAGAAAGCAUAUUUCAAAGUUUUCUCCCUGAAUAUUUGGUUUAUAAAGUAAUUUUCUAAAAAACAAAUUUAUUUUUAAAUCAAAAAUAAUAAUAUUCUUAAUAUAAUUUUAAGUGUAAUAAAUUAAAAAAAUAAUGUUUUUAGAUUUCAUAAUAGAUCGUUACAUAGUUAAAAAUAUAAAAAAUAUAAAUUUCUAAAUAAUUUUUUAAAUUAAAAUUUUAAUAGCGAUUUUAAUUUAUAUAAUAAAUAUUAUAUGCAUAAUAUUUUUUAUUAUUCAAUGAUUAUUUUUGAAUCGAUCUAUUCAUUUUAAAUAUUACGAUCUAUCUUAUUCGCAAUGCUUAGUUAUUUUUAUCUAAAAAAUAUUUAAAAUAACUAAAUAAAAAUAUUUAAAAAGUUGUAUAUGUUUCUUAUAUUUUAAAAUUAACACAACACUAAUCAAACUAGUCUACUGAUGUUUAUUUAAUUCAGUUUAAUUUUUUUAAAUAAACUAAUGAGUUAAAAUUUAAUUCAGUUUAAUUUCAAAUUGAAUUUUAAUUUUAUGAACAUAAAAAUUUAAAAAAUGAAGAGUUGAAUUUAAUCUAAUUAAAUGAUCUGAACAUAAAACUAAAGGGUAUCUUUCAGUUCAAACCUAAAUCUCCAACCUUUCAAACCUAAAUGCAUGGGAUCCAACUCACACGAAGCUGCAAACUUUUACUUCAAUCACUGUCUUGGAUAAGAAAAAUAUACCCAGAAAGAGAGGUUAGAUUCAAGGUGGUGGGUACUAAUCCUUUUGACAAUUCCCAUGAAAAAUUAAAAUAGUUAGUUCAAAGUCAACUAGGUGGUCAACUAGCUAAGCAGCCUUAAUUUUAUGGAAAAUUUAUUAUUUAACUCUUAUUUUUUUAUUCUAAAAAUUAACUGAAUGGAGUUAUUAGAGAAAAAAUGAAUUUAAAAUUUUUUUUAUCAAAAUAAUUAAAUAAUUAUAUUUUAUAAAAUAUAAUAUUUUAAUUAAAUAAUUUUCAAAUGCUGGAUUAACAAAUUUCCUAAAAGUUCAGUCAUAAUUCACCCCAAAUCUAAACUAGCUAGGUGUUGCUGGUUUCAGACUUUAAAAGCAGUUUCUCUCUCUCAAGGUUAGUUUAUCAUUUCUCGGAAUUCUAUAUAAAGAAUUUAACUCACAUCUCAUUGAAGUCAAAUCCCUAAGCUAUGAGUACAACUCAAAAGCUUUCCCUUCUCCUUCGUAUUCUUUUUCUCCUUUCUUUGCUUCCAUCACAGAUCACCUCAUCAUCAACAAUACAAGCAGAAGCUCUCAUCCAAUGGAGAAACAGCUUAUCUUCUUCACCUCCUUCACUCAACUCCUGGUCCCUCACCAACAUCAACAACCUCUGCAACUGGGCUGCCAUUUCCUGCGACACCACCGGAACUGUCUCCAAAUUAAACCUCUCCAAUCUAAACAUAACUGGAACACUGGCCCAGUUCAACUUCUCUUCAUUUGCAAACAUCUCCAGCUUUGAUCUCCAGAAUAACAAUAUAGAGGGAACGAUACCAGCAGCCAUUGGCAGCCUCUCCAAGCUGGCUCACUUGGACUUGAGCGUCAACUAUUUUUCUGGCAACAUUCCUGUUGAGAUGGGGCGACUGGCAGAGAUUGAAUUCAUUAGUCUUUAUGACAACAAUCUUCACGGUACAAUUCCUUAUCAGCUCAGCAAUCUUCAAAAGGUAUGGUACUUGGACCUUGGAGCAAACUACUUGGAAGACCCUGAUUGGUCUAAAUUUUCAAGUAUGCCUUCUUUGAUGCAUCUCAGCUUUUUUCUCAAUGAACUUAGUUUAGGAUUCCCUGAUUUCAUAGAAAAUUGUCGGAACUUGACUUUUCUAGAUUUGUCAUCCAAUCAGUUGACUGGGAUGAUACCAGAAUGGGCCUACACCAACCUGGGAAAGCUUGAGUAUUUAAAUCUCACUGACAAUUUAUUCCAAGGACCAUUAUCUUCAAACAUUUCCAAGCUUUCAAAUCUAAAACAUCUUCGUCUGCAAACUAACAAGUUUAUUGGCCAGAUUCCUGAAAGUAUUGGUUUAGUGUCUGGUCUUCAAAUUCUUGAGUUGUACAACAAUUCGUUCCAAGGGAAUAUUCCAUCUUCUUUAGGCCAACUUAGCCAUUUGGAACUGCUUGAUCUCCGAAUGAAUUCCUUGAAUUCAACAAUUCCUCCUGACCUUGGCCUUUGUAAUAAUCUCACUUACGUGGCCUUGGCCUUGAAUAAACUAAGAGGGAACUUGCCUUUGUCCUUGUCCAAUCUGAGCAAAAUGGUCGAUCUGGGUUUAUCUGAUAAUUUUUUCACAGGUGAGAUCUCACCUUAUCUUUUUGCCAAUUGGACAGGAUUGCAGUCCUUGCAACUUCAAAAUAAUUUGUUGUCUGGACAUAUUCCUUCAGAAAUCGGACAACUCACAAAGCUCAAUCUCCUUUUCCUAUACAAUAAUACACUCUCUGGUUUGAUUCCCCCUGAGAUUGGAAAUUUGAAAGAUUUGCAGCGUCUAGACCUUUCAGAAAACCAGCUUUCAGGACCUAUUCCUCCAACAUUGUGGAAUCUGAAAAAUCUUCAAGUCAUGAAUCUUUUCUCCAACAACAUCAGUGGAAUAAUUCCGCCUGAAAUUGGAAAUUUGACAUCCCUGUUAAACUUAGAUCUCAGCAAUAACAAGCUGCAAGGAGAGCUUCCAGAGACCAUUUCAAACCUUAGUUCUCUGGAGUCAAUCAAUUUGUUCACCAAUAAUUUCUCAGGUAGCAUCCCAAGAGAUCUAGGCAAGUAUAGUACUUUAAAAUAUGCUAGCUUUUCAAACAACAGCUUCUCUGGAGAAUUGCCCCCUGAACUCUGUAGUGGUUUGGCUCUUCAACAACUCACAGUUAAUGGCAACAAUUUUUCUGGGUCAUUGCCUACCUGCCUGAGGAAUUGCUCAGGAUUAACUAGAGUCCGGCUUGAUGAGAACCAAUUCUCUGGAACCAUCACCGAUUCAUUCGGAGUUCAUCCAGAUCUUGUCUUCAUUUCUCUCAGUGGGAAUCAGUUUAUUGGUGAAAUCUCACCUUCUUGGGGAGAAUGUAAGAACCUCACCAAUUUACAGAUGGACAGAAAUAGAAUUUCUGGUGAAAUCCCAGCUGAGCUUGGGAAGUUGACCCAGUUGGGUGUUCUAACGCUGGACUCAAAUGAUUUGAGUGGGAUGAUUCCCACUGAACUGGGAAAUCUGAGCAUGUUAUUCAGGCUCAAUUUGAGCAACAAUCAUUUGACAGGAGUGGUUCCUUCGAAUUUGGGCAAUUUGUCAAAGCUCGAAUCUCUUGACUUAUCUAAUAAUAAGAUGUCUGGGAACAUUCCACAGGAGCUUGGCAAUUGUGAUAAGUUAUCAACUCUGGAUUUGAGCCACAACAACCUAUCAGGCGACAUACCUUUUGAACUGGGUAACUUAAACUCUCUGCAGUACCUGUUGGAUCUCAGCAGCAAUGCACUGUCGGGAACAAUACCUGAUAAUCUGGGAAAGCUUACAUUAUUGGAAAAUCUCAAUGUAUCACACAAUGAUCUUUCAGGAAGAAUUCCCACAGUAUUGUCUGGCAUGAUUAGUCUGCACUCCUAUGAUUUCUCUUACAAUGAGUUGACAGGACCUAUCCCAACCGGUGGCAUGUUCCAAAAUGCAUCUGUAGAAGCUUUUGUCGAAAACUCAGACUUGUGUGGAAAUGUAGACGGGCUAUCUCCAUGUGAUCCAGCCAGUGGCAAAUCCUCCAAGUACAAUAAAAAGGUUCUAAUCGGCGUCAUUGUUCCUGUUUGUGCCUUUUUAUUGAUAUCAUCUAUUGUCGUUGCAGUUCUAACAUGUAGUCGAAAGACUGAACUCCAAGAUGAAGAGAUCAAAGGUAUAGAUAAAUAUGAAACUUAUGAGUCUAUGAUAUGGGAAAAAGAGAGGAAAUUCAUAUUUGGAGAUCUUGUUAAGGCGACCGAUGAUUUCAAUGAGAAGUACUGCAUAGGAAAAGGAGGAUUUGGAAGUGUUUACAAGGCUGUACUGGCAACAGGCCAAGUUGUUGCAGUCAAGAAACUAAGUAUAUCAGAUUCCAGUGAUAUUCCAGCAAUAAAUCGCCAGAGUUUUGAGAAUGAGAUACGAAUCUUGACUGAAGUAAGGCAUCGAAACAUCAUCAAGCUUUAUGGGUUUUGUUCUACGAGGGGCUGCUUGUACUUGGUCUAUGAGUACGUUGAGAGAGGAAGCUUAGGAAAGGUAUUGUAUGGAGUGGAAGGAGAAAUGGAGCUUGACUGGGCUACAAGGCUGAAGAUUGUGCAAGGAGUGGCUCAUGCCAUUGCCUACUUGCACCAUGAUUGCUCUCCACCGAUUGUUCAUCGGGACAUCUCUUUGAAUAAUAUUUUGGUCGAGUCAGAUUUUGAGUCACGGCUCUCAGAUUUUGGCACAGCAAGACUGUUGAGUACAGAUUCAUCCAACUGGACAGCAGUGGCUGGUUCCUAUGGCUACAUGGCCCCAGGUAAAUAUUAUACUUGCUUUGCAUGGAAGCUCUACUCUGAAAUAUGAAUUAACCAUCAUACUUAAACGUUCCUCUUUUUUCUUGGCUUGAUGUGCAGAGCUGGCGCUUACAAUGCGGAUCACUGAUAAAUGUGAUGUUUACAGCUUUGGCGUAGUGGCACUAGAAGUUUUGAUGGGGAGGCACCCAGGAGAGCUUUUAACUUCAUUAUCAUCAUUAAAAACGUCAAUGCCAAGUGAUCAAGAGUUCUCUGUAAAGAAUUUGUUAGACCAGCGGCUUCCAACUCCGACAGGACACUUAGCAGAGGAGGUUGUUUUUGUAGUUAGACUUGCCUUAGAAUGCACUCGUACAACUCCAGAGGAACGACCCACCAUGCGUUUCGUUGCACAAGAACUUGCAAAACGAACUCAAGCAUACUUGUCUGAGCCAUUGGAGAAAGAACUUUUAGCAAAUUAACAGGCUUUCAAAGUUAGGAGUUCUUUAUAUAUAUAUAUAUAUAUAUAUAUACUCUUUCCAGAUCACAAUUUAGAUAUCAUAUGCAAAUACUGAAAUCAAUAAGGUCAAAACGUCAAUUCAAGGUAUUUCAAAACAGGACACUGAAGCUCAAUCUACUUUGAGAUUGAACCCACCGUUGGGAAAUGAAAACAGCAUCAUCCAAGUGGUGCAUCUUUCACCAUCAGGAUCAAAGAUGCCUAUUCACAAUAAAAGUUCUCCAAAAAGAAAAAAAAAAAAAAACUUGCAAAUUAAUUCUCACAAAAUUAGAUGUCCUAAAAAUUCAACAGAAGUAUUUGACAAAGCUGAAUGUCAACUAUCCUGCAAAUCUGCAAACCGAACUGCAUCAAGCAGGUAGCAUUCCAUAUCAAACAAUGCAAAGAAAAUAUCCAUUUGUUCGAAAAGAAAGCUAGACUAACAAGUUAAAAACUACACCAAAAUGGAGAGACAUCGAAAGAUUAUAUUCUACCCCCACAAACACCUGUUAUUAUAACGAAAUAUUAUAGAAUAUAACCAUCGCAUCGUAUAGGACGCUUACAUAGUACAACAAACAAAUAGUGUAGAGAUAUUUAUACAAAAUUUUUUAUAAAAAAAUUACUAAUUAGUUACCAUUUUUUAGGAUUUAUUUAUUAACAUUUAGGUUAUAUAAAUCUAUUUAUCUAAUUUUUAUUGGUUUGUUGUACUAUGUAAAAUUGUCUACUACAACGGCGGUAUUGUAUAAAUUGUCCAUUAUAAUAUGGAAAAACAUGACAUCUACACCAUUAAAUACCUAAACAACUCACCUACCACCAAGCAAACACCACAAUAUUGAAGCUUUAGCCUUCUAUUUUCUUUUGUGCAUUUAGUGUUUUGCGACUUUGCAAGUAUACAUACAAAAUGUUACUACUUGCAAGCACUUGAUUAGCCAUUACCUGAAUAGUUAUUACCACUAAAAGAGCUAACAUUUAUUACAACCGCUAAUACUGCCCAAAAAGUCUUUUGCCCAAGGCAUGGGCCACUGCUUGCACGAUAUUAGGUGAGUGAGACAUGUGGAGAAGUUUAGGGAUUAGUUUAUGGACUUUCAGAAUAUUAAUAUUGGUUGUCAAUUCAAAAUUUUUUAAUAAUCAAUUGAAGCUUAUUGUUCUAUAUUAAAAAAAGCCAUUCGGAUUGUUAAAGGUUGUUUACAAUUUGGAUGAAACCAACCAAAUCGACUGAUUCAAAUUAAAUCAAUUCAAUAUCUGUGGUUAUCUACAAAAUCAAUGGCACAACCCUGUAACAUAUUUUCCAAAAUUUGAAUCACCCUUUCAGAUUGUCCAUCGGUUUAAGAAUGAAAAGUCAAAGCUUCAUGUAACUUCUUCCAAAACCUAGAAGUAAAUCUCGAAACUCUAUCAGAGAUAAUAGAAGGUGGAACACCAUAUAACCACACUAUCUCUCUAUAGUUCUGCCAAUCGCUCCAAAGGGAAGUUGAUCUUCAUCUGUAAGAAGUGUGCUGACUUAGUUAAAUGGUCCACAAUUACCCGAACCGAGUCAUGCUUUUUCUGUGCAAGGAAUAACCCAAUAACAAAGUCUAUUAUAAUUCUAUUCUGCUUCCACUCAAGAAUGGAGAUUGGAUGUAAUAACCCGAAGAAACUUGAUGUUCUGCUUUCACUUGCUAACAAGUGAAGCACCUAGAUACAAAUUCUAUUAUGCUUCUCUUCAUACCUAGCCACCAAAACUGCUUCCUCAGGUCCUAUACAUCUUAGUACUACCCGGGUGUAUAGCAUAAGGGCUAUAAUGUGCUUCCUCUAGUUUUUUUCUCUCCAAUUCUCCUGUUUGGGGAACACAAAUCUGAUCCAUAAAGUACAAACAACCUUCAUCCCUCACCACAUGCAUCAUUUUCUGUAAUACCCGGCUAGACUCCGGUAUCGGAAUUCCUACCGUCCGGUGGAAUCUCGGAUGUCGGAGACCUCUAGAAGGGUAAAACCAUGUUUUCAUGAAAUAUUUUAAUGUUUUUGAUGAUUUUAAGUAAAGAGGAAUUGAGUUUUUGAAUAAAAACACCCUUGGAGGAAACUCAGGUUCGGCCGCCGAAACUCAAAGUUCGGCCGCCGAACAUGCAUGCUUUUCGGGUGAGCCUUAGGCCCCCGAAGGCAUAAGUGAGGGAAGCCCAGGUUCGGCCGCCGAACCUCAAGUUCGGCAGCCGAACAUGGCAUGCAUGCGGAGGCACGUUCGGCCCCCGAACGUGGCCUGGCCAGCCACUAUAAAAGGGUCCCUUAGCCGAAAACGGGCGAGUUUUUCUCCCCAUUAUCGGCCAAAGUGAGCUCUCCGCCGUUCCUCACCAAUCCUUGAGUUUUUCCUUCAAAUCUUUCAAGAUUUUCACUAGUUUUCACGUUGUUUUGAAGAUUUUCGAGUUUAAAGCAAGUUUUGGAGCUUUGAGGUUCAAGAACUCAAAAUCUCCCACCUCCGAGUUUAGGACGUCUCUCUCUCGAUCUUCAAGAGGUAAGAGCCGAUCUUAAGCUCAUUUCAUGUUUAAAGUAAGUUUUAUGCAAGAUCUAUGGGAUAGAAUGCAUGUUUAGCUCAUAGUUAGGUUUUUGAGUUAAUGUUCUGUUUUGAGCAAUGUAUGUUGGAUUUGUGUUGUUGUUGUGUGUUGUAGUUGGGGUUUAAGUUAGUUUGAAGCCCCUAGGAGCCAAUGUAUGUAUAUUUGCAUGUUUUGGUUGAGCUAAAUGCAUGAUUGGAAGUUUUGGAGGCAAAUGUGCUUAAAGGAGCCAAGUUUCUGCCCUUUGGCAGAAACCAGGUUCGGCAGCCGAAGGAACUUUCGGCCGCCGAACAUGGCUGGGGAGGCAGGCCUUUCGGCUGCCGAAGUUGCCCCCGAAAAGAGACUUUCGUCUCUGUCUGGGACUUUCGGCCGCCGAAGGUGCCGCCGAACCUGCCUGGGUUUCGGCUCUGGAGGGACUUUCAGCCGUCGAAGGUGCCGCCGAACCUGCCCUGUUCUGCCUUCCUUUGCAUGUUUUUGCAUGAUUGUUUUGAGGUGUUUUAGGGGGUUUUGGGGGAUGUUUUUAGAGUUACGUUCUAGUUGUUUGGUCCCUCAUUUGAGUCCACCUGUGUAGGUUCGGACCCGAGGAACCGAGGACCCCAGCAGUGAGUUCAGCUGCUUCUGAGUCAGUAAAGCUUCAGCCAGAGGUGAGUAGAAUCAACCUUAUGUUUUUAAAGCAAAUGAAUUAUACAGUUGAGCAUGUUCAUGCAUCAUGAAUGCCAUGUGAUGAAAUAGGUUGUUGCAUUAGAAUCCACGAAUAUGUUGCAUUGCAUUUAUGAUGUUGAUGUGGAUUGGUUAUUGGAUGACCCUUUAGUCCUCAUAUGAUAUGAUGAUGCUACGACAUGGUAUGGUAUGGAAGUCCAGGUUGUACCCAUUCUACGUCCCUGGCACUAUGUAAGAGAAAGUCCAGGUUGUACCCAUUCUAUGUCCCUGGCACAUUGGAAUGUUAUGAUAUGUUAUGUUAAGAGAAAGACCGGUUGUACCCAUUCUACGUCCCGGCACUUUGGAAUGUAGAGGACUAUUGGUGACAAUACCAUCCGAGAUGUGAUUUGUUGUGAUGUGUUGCAUUACAUGAUGGCAUGAGAUUUAAAUGUUUUCUAUUAUUCUGCUCACUGGGCUCUAGUAGCUCACCCCUUUUCCCUAAUCCCCCAGGAUUGCAGGUACGGGCUAGACAGAGAAGUCAAGAAGAGUAAAGUCUUAUGUUUGUAAUAGUUAGAAAGUGGACAUUAUAAAUUAUAAGAUGAUGUACAAUUGAAUAGUUAUGUUAUGUAUAAUGAUAUUGAGGUUUAGAAGUGUGCUUGACCAUAGUUUAUUGUAAUCCCUUGUUGAUACAUGAUCUUAAUGUCUAUUGAUGUUUAUGUUUAACCAACUCAACUUAUAAUGUAUCGCCCAUUGGGGCAUUGAUGAGAUCCCAUAGAGGGGUCAUGUUUAUGAGUAUGUUUAGUGCAUGCACAGGUUGAGUUUGGUGUAUGAGGAAUGAAUGAAAGAAAAGUUUUAAAUUUUUAUGUAUGUUGUUGAUCAUGUAUGGGAUUAAUCAGGUUUUCAGGAUGUAUGUUAGGCUUGCUACGGGUCCCGGCGGCCUUAAGUCGACCCGGAUCCUAGCGCCGGUAGCAGUCCGAUUUUCGGAUCGUUACAGAAUGGUAUCAGAGCCCUAGGUUCAUAUGGUCGGACCUAGAGUGUCGGGCUCAUAGAGGAUAUAGAAGGUCAAGCACAAUAGGAAGAUCAUGUCCACUAGGAUAGGAUGUGGAGUCCUGUCUUGUUUGAUGAUGUGAAAUGCCAUGAUUUUAUACAUGUGCAUUAAUGCUAUGAUAUGAAUGAUAUGUAUGUGAUGAGGGUUCAUGUGUGCCCACAUGAACCAUAUGAUGCUAAUGUUUGCUUAUUAUGUGCUGCCUUUCAGAAAACAAGAUGAGGGGAACUCGUCGAUCAGCACGAUUGACUGGAGUGCCACCUGAGGAUGAGGGCAUGAGCGCCCGUCCUCCAGCAUUACCUAGGGCAAUGUCUAGUAGGUCUAACCGAGAAAGAGUAGUAAGAGACCCUAAAAGGUCUUUGGAUCUGGGUAGAAGCAGAUCAGUCAGAGGAACAGUUCAGGGAGGAGCGUCUGAGGACAUGGGGGAUGAUAUAGAUGUAGAGCAGAGAAGGGAUGGCAGUCUGGGAGUUAGCAUGUCAGAAGAGGGAAUGGGAGAGUCCCAAGGAGGCACUCAGGCCUCGGGAUUUUUUCAGCCACCCCACUACCCACACUUCUCACAAAAUCCCGGGUAUUCGAUGGGAGGUACAUCGGAUUACCCUAGCUUCACCCCUUAUCCCUCACAGAUGCCAUACCCACCCUACUACCCACCAUAUUCACAAUACCCAAUGUAUCCACCCCCACCUUAUUAUCCAAACCCUACCUCAGAAAAUGUUGCCCCACCUCCACCACCUACAGAACCAGCAGCCCCAGCUACUCAACCUUUUAGACCUAGCUCAGCCAGUGGGAGCAAGGUCAAGAUGACAGACUACAUGAAGUUGGGUGCUCCCCAAUAUGAAAAAGGGGAUGACCCGUUUGUGUACCUUGAAAGGGUUAAGGUGAUCACAGAUGAGAUUGGGGCUGAUGAUAGUAGAGCCAUUCAGAUGGCUGGGUUCACGCUUAAGUGCAAGAAGGCACGAGAGUGGUUCAAGAACUAUGUGAACCCGAGGGUAGACAGCAUUUCUUGGGAAGAGUUUGCAAACGAGUUUGCAGGAUGGGCUUUCCCAAAUAGUUCAAGGGAGCUGAAGAUGAUAGAGUUUGAGCAGUUGAGGCAGACCGAGGAUAUGGGUGUAGAGGAGUUCACAGACAGAUUCUUGGAGCUGUUGCCAUUUGCAGGGCAAAACCUUGACUCAGACCAGAAAAGGUCAAGGAGGUAUAUCAUGAAACUCCACUCCAUAUAUUCCUCCUUGAUCCAGUCAGCAGAUAGGGAGAGCUUCCAUGCCAUAGUGGAUAUGGCCCGGAAAAUGGAGGCCAGUGCCAUCGUUCAGGGAGCAGUUAAGCAGUCAGUGGCACAUCCUUCUAGUUCCAAGACCCCAGGCUCUUCUUCUCUGAGUGCAGCAGCUUCAGGUAGCAAAAAGUGGAGUAACACCACUAGGAAGCCCAAGAAGAACAAGUUUUGGAACAAGGUCAAGUCUAGUCUGGGACUAGGGAGUUGCUCAAGCUCUGGCGCGGAUAAUGCAGUUUGUGCAAAGUGUGGUAGGCUACACAGGGGGGUUUGUCGGGCUGGGACAGCAGCCUGCUUCAGAUGCGGGCAAGAAGGACACAUGGCUCGGGAGUGUCCUAGGGCAGCUUUUGGAGCACAGUCUCAGCAGACAGCUUCUGGUAGUGUGGCUCAGCCAGCAACUCCAGCCAUGACUCAGGCCAGUGGCAGAGGCAGAGGGAGAGGGGCAGCCUCUUCUUCAGUGGGUUUCAAAGGUGAAGGUCCAUCAGCUCCAGCACGGAUCUUCACAAUGACUCAACAGGAGGCAGAUGCAUCUAACACCGUGGUGGCAGGUAACUUAGUCAUUGGUUGUUCAGAUGUGUAUGCCUUGAUGGACCCUGGUGCAUCUCAUUCUUUUAUUGCUUCGAGAGCCGUCCAGAGGUUGGGGUUGAUGAUCUCUGAGUUAGAGUGUCCUCUCUGGGUCAGUGGACCCAAGUGUGAUCCAUCAGUGGCAGAGUCAGUCUGCCAGUGUAGUCCUGUGUUUGUUGAGGGAAGAUGCUUGUUCGCCGACCUGGUGGUUCUAGAUUUGACAGAUUUUGACGUCAUUCUAGGGAUGGACUGGCUAUCUACCCAUGGUGCUACCUUGGACUGCAGGGACAAGGUAGUCAAGUUCAGAGUUCAGGAUGGGUCAGAGGUUGUCUUUAGGGAAGACAGGAGGGGUACACCUAGAGGUCUGAUAUCAGCUCUUCAGGCUCGUAGGUUGCUUAGGAAGGGAUGUCAGGGGUGUUUGGCUCAUGUGAGAGAGCUUAGCAGUCAGGUUAGAGAGCCCGCCUCGGUGCUAGUGGUUAGAGAGUUUCUAGACGUCUUCCCAGACGAGCUACCAGGUUUACCGCCUGCUAGGGAGAUAGAGUUCGAGAUAUAAUUGAUGCCUGGAACCCGACCGAUCUCUAUCCCUCCCUACAGGAUGGCUCCAGCCGAGUUGAAAGAAUUGAAGGAACAGUUGCAAGAGUUGGUAGAAAAGGACUUCAUCCGACCGAGCACUUCACCUUGGGGUGCACCAGUUUUGUUCGUGAGAAAGAAGGAUGGAUCCCUAAGGCUUUGUAUCGACUACAGGCAGUUGAACAAAGUCACUACCAAGAAUAAGUACCCGUUGCCUAGGAUCGACGAUCUAUUUGACCAGCUAGCCGGAGCAGGUUGUUUCUCCAAAAUAGAUCUGAGAUCGGGGUACCAUCAGUUGAGGAUCAGAGAAGAUGAUGUGCCAAAGACAGCAUUCAGGACCAGAUAUGGGCAUUUUGAGUUCCUUGUAAUGCCGUUCGGGUUAACCAACGCCCCUGCAGCAUUCAUAGAUCUCAUGAAUAGAGUGUUUAGCCAGUACCUGGAUCACUUUGUUAUUGUCUUCAUAGAUGAUAUCUUGGUGUAUUCCAGGAAUGUAGAGGAGCAUGCCCAUCAUCUGAGGUUGGUUCUGCAGACCUUGAGGGAACAUGGCCUGUAUGCCAAGUUCUCUAAAUGUGAGUUCUGGCUGAGGAGCAUCUCGUUCUUGGGGCAUGUAGUGUCAGAGAAUGGGAUAGAGGUGGACCCCAAGAAGACAGAAACUGUGGCUAACUGGCCUAGACCCACUUCAGUGACAGAAAUCAGGAGUUUCUUGGGUUUGGCGGGCUACUACAGGAGGUUUGUUCAGGAUUUCUCAAAAAUAGCAGCUCCUCUGACCAGACUAACCAGGAAGAAUCAGAAGUUUCUGUGGACCGACCAGUGUGAAGAGAGUUUUGAAGAGCUUAAGAAGAGGUUGACUUCAGCACCAGUUUUAGCUCUGUCAUCUAGUGAUGAGGACUUUACAGUCUUUUGUGAUGCGUCCCGUGUGGGACUGGGUUGUGUGCUGAUGCAAAAUGAGAGGGUGAUUGCUUAUGCUUCUAGGCAGCUGAAGAAGCAUGAGUUGAAUUACCCCACGCAUGACCUAGAGAUGGUAGCAGUAAUCUUUGCAAUCAAGAUGUGGAGGCACUACCUCUAUGGGGUAAAAUGUGAGAUCUUUACAGAUCAUAAGAGCCUGCAGUACAUCCUGAGUCAAAGAGAUUUGAACUUGAGACAGAGGAGAUGGGUAGAGCUGCUGAGUGACUAUGAUUGCAAGAUUCAGUAUCAUCCGGGUAAGGCGAAUGUCGUGGCAGACGCCCUAAGCCGAAAGUCACUAGGCAGUCUAUCCCACAUCAUGGCAGAGAGGAGGCCAGUAGUGAAGGAGUUUUACAAGCUCAUUGAUGAAGGUCUACAGUUGGAGUUGUGUGGUACCGGUGCUUUAGUGGCCCAGAUGAGAGUGACACCUGUGUUUCUGGAGCAAGUGGCUCAGAAACAGCAUGAGGACCCAGAGUUAGUGAAGAUUGCCAGGACUGUUCAGUCAGGCAAGGACAGCGAGUUCAGAUUUGACAGUAAGGGGAUCCUCCGCUAUGGGAGCAGACUUUGUGUACCAGAUGACAUAGGGCUAAAAGGAGACAUUAUGAGGGAGGCUCAUAAUGCAAGAUACAGCGUUCACCCCGGAGCCACCAAGAUGUAUCAAGAUUUGAAGAAGGUUUAUUGAUGGCCAGUGAUGAAGAAAGAAGUGGCACAGUUUAUGUCCGCCUGCGAAGUAUGUCAAAGGGUGAAGCUGGAACAUCAGAAGCCGGCUGGAAUGCUUAACCCGCUACCUAUUCCAGAGUGGAAAUGGGAGAAUAUAGCUAUGGACUUCGUAGUGGGGUUACCGGCAGCGUCCAACAGAGUGGACUCCAUAUGGGUGAUUGUGGACAGACUCACCAAAUCUGCUCACUUCAUCCCUGUCAGGAGUGGCUACUCUGUGGACAAGUUGGCGCAGGUGUAUGUGGAUGAGAUCGUCAGGCUGCAUGGGGUUCCUGUUUCAAUAGUGUCCGAUAGAGGGCCCCAGUUCACCUCCAGGUUUUGGCGGAGUCUGCAGAAUGCCAUGGGUACCAGGUUGGAUUUCAGCACUGCCUUCCACCCCCAGACUGACGGACAGUCAGAAAGGACUAUCCAGACUAUCGAGGAUAUGCUUAGAAUGUGUGUGCUGGACUUUGGCGGUUCUUGGAGGCAGCAUCUACCUUUGGUGGAGUUUGCCUAUAAUAACAGCCAUCAUGCUACACUACAAAAUAAAAGCGGAUUAGUAACGGAAAUUAGUAACGGAUAAUAUCGGUUUCUAAAUAAUAAUGGAUUAGUAACGGAUAUUAAGAUAGAAAACAAUUUAGUAACGGAUUAAAAAAUCUGUUACUAUUCCGUUACUAAUUUUUGUAACAGAUACAAAUCCGUUAAAAAAUUGUUUUAAUUUUCAUUAUAUAGUAACGGAUAUCCAAAUCCGUUACUGAAGUGCAAUUCGUUAACAUAUUUUAGUAACGGAUUAUGAUAUCCGUUACUAAAUUAUUAUAUAGUAACAGACUAAAUCCGUUACUAAAGUUAAAUUGCUAACUUAAAAACUUUCCUCUUUUUCUCCCCCGUCAUUCACACAAAACUCUGAGCUCUCUGCUAACAAAUUAAAUCCCUAGCUAUAUUGAUCAAUCGAUCCUAGCUUCCUCUCUUGGUUCAUCGCCGGCGGAAUUUGACGCCAGACCAGUUGACGCCACUCCCCUUGGUUCAUCGCCGUCAACCGUCUCUUUCUUCCCUCCCCUCGGUUCAUUGCCGUCUCUUGCUCCCCUCCAUUUUGCUGUCUUCUAUAUUGGUUUCAGAUAUCGUGUUCUUGCUUUCAGACCAGUUGACGCCUGCAGACCCCUUUUUUGCUUCCAGAGAUUGCGUUCAUCUCAAAUUUUUCUUCUCCUUCAGUCUGUCUAUAAAGGUAAGGAUAUUAGGGUUUUUCUUUUUUAUUGUUUUAAGAUUCUCUGCUUGUUUUGGUUGAAUUAGUUGUUUCUUAUAUACAAGUUCGCUUGAUGUCGUGAUUUCGCUUGUAUUUGAGUAGUGAUUUAAGUAGUGAUUUCUUGAACUGGGGAAAUAUAAAGGGAGGCGAGGCUAGGGAACUGUGUAAAGUUAACCUGCAGAAUUAGUUUUGUAUUUAGCAAAUGAUUCCCAAAUGAAUAAACAUGAAGGGUGGUGGGUUUCUGGGCAUGGGGUAGUCCACAUGCUUUCUUUCACUGCUUUUGGGAGCAUACAAGGGCAAAGGCUCUGUUUAAAGAAAUUUUGAAUUUAAAUGAGCAAAUUAGUUGUUGAUUUGAUGCAAUCCCAUUAAAUAUCUUUCGUUUUCACUAUGUCCAUUGCUACUGCAGCAUGUGUCAGUUGUUGAUAUUAUAUUUCAAGUUUCUGCUUCAGUUGAUAUUCUGGAUGAAUAGCUGGCCAUGUUAACACAAACCCCACAUUUUGAAGCUGCCCUUUUUUCUCCAAGUAUUGGCAGGCCAAGUCUGUUCCCAUGUCCUUCUCUGAUCUCUACCAACACCCAUCAAUUUUCUCUUUUCUUUAAUUUCUCAACCCAUUUUUUAUUUUUUCAUCUCAUAAACACCUAAGAGAAGCUCUUUAAUUAAUUUUAAAUGCAUUAAAAUCAUAAUUUAAUUCUCAUUAUUAGACCCUCACAGCUCAGGACGUGCAUAUAUGUGUGAAACAAAACCAUAGUCUACAUAUUUAUUUUGGCUAAUGGGAUUAGUCAAUUAAAGAUUGCUGAAGCUUUCCAUUUCAAAAAAAAAAAAAAAAAAAGAUUGCUGAAGCUUCAGUUUUCAUCUCCUCUUAGGAAUUUGCACUAGAAAAACUCUUGACUUUUAAAAAUUAAUUACUUGUUAUGAAGCUAUUUCAUAAUAUUUUAAAAUGGAUUUAAUAUUCUCACAUUCUCUCACCUGUCUUAUAAAAAUUAAUUACUUAUUAUGAAGCUAUUUUAUAAACUUUUAAAAUGGAUUUAAUAUUCUCACAUUCUCUCAUCUUUCUUAAAGAAUAAGAAGCUAGCAUAUGUUGAUAAAAAGGUGAAAAUUAAAGCACUUUUGCAAACCAUAUUCCUAAGAAUGUCCUCUCUUCUCUCUACAUUUUUAAAUAGGAUAGAUAAACGCCUAGAGCAUAAAAGAAACAGGUAGGUCUCCUUGUUUAAGAUCUCUUUUCAGAAAAAAACAACUCCAAAAUCAUCUCCAUUAAGAGAAACAACAUAUUUGAUAGAGCAAACACAAAGCAUAGUCUAACUAAUCCAUUUUAUGUUGAAGCCAAUCUUCAUUAUAACCUGCCUCAAAUAUUCUUAAUUAACCCGAUCAUAUACCUUAUAUCAAUAUUCUACACCACUUUACCUUUUCUUUCUUUAGUUUUUCACAUUAUAUAAUGGACCAAUUCAAAGACUAUUAUAACAUUAUCAGUAAUAAGUCUACCGAGAACAAAGAGGCAAUAUAAGCUUUAUUCCAUUAACCAAUAUAUUAGCCACUAUUUUAUAUAGGAUAUUACAUAAAGAAAUAGACUGUAUAUCUUUUAUGAUGACUAGUUUUUCCUUUUUAGAUAUAAGCAUUAUUGUGGUAUUAUUCAGCAGAUUUAGGUGAGUCCCAUCCCUUAACCACCCUUGACAACUUUUAAUAAUAGUAUCACUCAUAAUAUGCCAAACUUUUUUAGUAAAAAGUUGGAUUCAUCUUAUCUGGUCCAAUUGAUUUAUCUGGAUGCAUUUAGAAGACAACCCUAUUUUAUUUUUAGAGCAAAAGGGGCUAAAAGUAUCUCAUUAUCAUUUGAAGUAACUUUUUGAUCCAGGGGUCUACAAAAUUUACACAAUCACCACUUGACUCAUAAAAUAACUCCUUUGAAAUAUUGAAUCACAAGCUCUCUUAUACCUUCCCUAUUAGAAAUUCAACUACCAUUAUUAUCCUACAAAGCAACUUAGAGAAUAAAAUUAUGAGUCAUAAAAUAACUGUGGCUUAUAGUCUGUGGCUUAAAUUAAUACUUAAAAUUAAUUAAAUUAAAAUUAAAUUAAAUUAAUUAAUUUUAAUACUUAAAAUUAAAUUUAAUUAAUNNNNNNNNNNNNNNNNNNNNNNNNNNNNNNNNNNNNNNNNNNNNNNNNNNNNNNNNNNNNNNNNNNNNNNNNNNNNNNNNNNNNNNNNAAAAUUAAAUUAAUACUUAAAAUUUAUACUUAAAAUUAAUUAAAUUAAUUAAAUUAAUACUUAAAAUUUAUACUUAAAAUUAAUACUUAAAAUUAAAUUAAUACUUAAAAUUAAUACUUAAAAUUUAUACUUAAAAUUAAUACUUCAAAUUAAAUUAAAAUUAAUUAAAUUAAAAUUAAAUUAAUACUUAAAAUUAAUUAAAUUAAAUUAAAAUUAAUUAAAUUAAAUUAAUACUACUUUUGGAGAUUAGAUUGGAGAUUAUUUUUAGUAUCAUUCAUGGUAGUCUAUGGCUUAUUUUGCUUUCUUUUCUCUCCUUAUGCUUCCUGUAGACUUUCCUUUGACUUGGGGCUUAGUUGCUUUAUUUACAUAACCAUUACUUUAUUUAUUAAUAUUUUUUUGUUGGAAGUGUUUUAUUAUUUAUUGCUUUAGAAGAAAUUUUUUUAGGCAAUCUGAAUUGUGGUUUGAGACUCAAACAUGACAUUGGGAAUAAUUUAUAUAUAUAUAUUUUCUUUUUUAGUAUAUAUAUUUUUUCUUUUUCUUUUUUUAGUAAGCUAACAAGCCCUAGGAAUGCUACCCACUUUUUAGUAAACCCUUUUUUAUUUGGAAUUUCCUAUUGCUACCCAUACACUAAGUUGAUAUUCUUUUGAUAUAUGUUGUUGUUGGCUUAUAUAUACUUAUUAAAAUCAGUCCACUCCUAAUCAACUUAUAAACUUAUAAAUAAUCAUAUUACUCUUAUUUAAACGCAACUACAUAUCAAUUUAUUUUUUUUAGAUGAGGACAUCCUUCUGACCAACUCUUCAUUUAUUGUUAUACAUUAUAGGUAUAAUAGGUACAAUAUGCAUUCUGAUAGAGGUUGGAUGUAUGCAAGACUAAAAGAUGGUCUACUAAAUCCUUUAUUCCUUGAAGGAUUAAAUGAAUUCAUAUCAGCUGCCAAACAGUUUCUAGACUGUUUGAAUGGAGAACUUAUUAGGUGUCCAUGUAAUCGAUUUAAGUGCCAAAAUCGCAGUUUUGAAGAUGAGAGUACAGUUAGGUUUCAUCUGAUGAAAUAUGGGUUUGUUAGGGACUAUUAUGUAUGGUAUUUGCAUGGAGAAAUGCAAACCUACAAUGAGGUCCACGGGAGAAGUAAUGAUUCGACUUACAACACUUGCAAUGUGGAAUAUCAACAUACUGAGUUCUCUAAUGCUUAUGAACAACUAGUUGUAGAUGCAGCAGGACCGAGUUUCUCCCCAUCAAUUAGUAAUGAGCCUCCAAAUCAAUCUACUCAGAGAUUGUAUGACAUGUUGGCCGCUGUUAAUCAGGAAUUGUGGCCAGGUUGUGAAAAUCAUUCACAACUGUCAGCUGUGGCAAGGAUAUUGAAUAUCAAAUCUGAACAUCAUUUGUCCGAACGUUGUUUUGACAAUAUUUGCCAAUUCAUCAAAGAGAUUUUACCUACUGAUAAUUUGUUUACUGAUAAUUUCUACUCUACAAAGAAAUUGCUUGAAGGCUUGGGAUUACCAAUUCAGAAGAUUCAUACUUGCUUAAAUGGUUGUAUGAUUUAUUGGGGUGAAGAUAAUGAAUUGCUCAGGUGCAAGGUGUGUGAUCAUCCGAGGUACAAACGAUUGCAAGUUAGCCAGAGCUCUAGUAAAACCCAAGUUGCUUAUAGUAAAAUGUAUUACAUGCCAAUCACACCUAGACUACAAAGGUUGUACGCAUCUAAUGCUACAGCUAAGGAUAUGACUUGGCAUGCCAAUCAUGGGACUAAUGAUGAUUUAAUGUAUCAUCCAGUUGAUUCGCAUGCAUGGAAAGCUUUUGAUAAUAAUUGGCCUCAUUUCAGUGCUGAGAAACGUAAUGUCCGUCUUGGACUGUGUACCGAUGGUUUUCAACCCUUUGGACAAUCUGGUCAGCAAUAUUCAUCAUGGCCUGUCAUAUUGACACCGUACAAUUUACCCCCAUGGUUAUGCAUGAAAGGUGAGUAUAUGUUUCUCACUAUACUUGUCCCAGGGCCUAGAAAUCCAAAAGAUAAGUUGGAUGUGUAUUUGCAACCCCUAGUAACUGAGUUGAAAGAUUUAUGGGAGAAUGGAGUUGAAACAUAUGAUGCAUUCAAUAAAGAAAAUUUCAACUUGCGAGCUGCUUUAAUGUGGACUAUAAGUGAUUUUCCUGCUUAUGCAAUGUUAUCUGGAUGGAGCACUGCAGGACGGACUGCUUGUCCUUAUUGCAUGGAAGAUAGUGAUGCAUUCACAUUGACAAGAGGAGGUAAGCAAUCAUGGUUUGAUAAUCAUCGCAAAUUUUUACCUCCUAGCCAUUCUUUUAGAAGAAACAAAACAGCUUUUAGGAAGAAUGUAUCUGUUACUAAGAAAGCUAAACCACCUAUUUCCGGUGAAGAAAUACUGAAACAGAUUAAUGAAUUGGGGUUUAAGAGGGUUAUAGAUGAGGAUGCAUUUGAAAUAAAUUCCCGUCUAUCAAAGCAAUGCGGUUGGCGAAAAAGAAGCAUCUUGUGGGAUUUACCGUAUUGGAAAAGUAAUUUGAUUCGACACAAUCUUGAUGUAAUGCACAUUGAGAAAAAAAUUUUUGAAAAUAUAAUCAACACUGUAAUGAGUGUUGAGGGAAAGACAAAGGAUAAUGCCAAGUCAAGGGCAGACCUAAAUGUGAUCUGUGAUCGGCCAGAGUUGGAAAUGGAUCAAGUCACUGGGAGAUAUCCCAAAGCUUGUUAUACUCUAGAUAAGCAAAGUAAGCAAGUAUUAUGUGAUUGGUUGAAAAAUCUCAAGUUUCCCGAUGGAUAUGUUUCCAAUAUGGGACGAUGUAUUGAUAUGAAGAAGCUGAAGAUGUUUGGUAUGAAGAGUCAUGAUUGUCAUGUCUUCAUGCAGCGGAUUAUGCCAAUUGCAUUUCGUGAGUUGCUUCCGUCAAAUGUGUGGCAGCCCUUAACAGAGUUGAGUAAUUUUUUUAAGGAGUUAACAUCUACCACUAUAAGUGAGAGUGAUAUGUUGCGGUUGCAUGGUGAAAUUCCUUUAAUCAUAUGCAAGCUUGAGCGUGUUUUCCCUCCAAGCUUCUUUGAUUGUAUGGAACACCUCCCUGUCCAUCUAGCAUAUGAAGCAUGGCUGGCAGGUCCAGUGCAAUAUCGAUGGAUGUAUCCUUUUGAACGGUAAGUUCUUUUAACUUCGCUUUAAUUAAGUUAUUUAAUAAUGUUUACUAAUGUUGGUCAUAUAUUUUAUAGAUAUCUGCGACGGCUUAAGAAUAAUGUCAGAAAUAAAGCUAGAGUCGAGGGAUCAAUAUGUAAUGCGUACCUAGUAGAAGAAGCAACUUCAUUUUGUGCACAUUACUUUGAAUCGUAUGUCCAAACUAGACAUCGAAAAGUGCCAAGGAAUGUUGAUAUUUCAGAAAGUAUUGAAAAUUAUGAAGGCAAUCUAUCAAUCUUCAUGCAGUCCGGUCGACCAAUAGGAAAAGGGACAACCAGAUAUCUUAUGGAGGAUGAGUAUAAAGCAGCACAAGUGUACAUAUUAUUAAAUUGUCCAGAAGUGAAACCCUAUAUUGAGUAAGUUAUCGUAAAUAAGUAAUUUAUAUAUUAUGUUCUUAAAUUACUUUUUCUAAUGGAGUUGAGGUUUUUCCAGCAUUUACAUUGAUCAAUUGCGCUCAAAUGAUCCGUUGGUCAAUGAUUCUCAGAUUGACAUCAAAUUGGAGAGUGAAUUCUCUAUAUGGUUCAACAAUUUUGCUCAUGAUUCGUGCAAUAACAUAUCCAAUAAGUUUAUCAUAUCGCUUGCAAUGGGUCCAUUACGAAGUGUGACAUCAUACAAUGGAUAUAUGGUGAAUGGAUAUAAGUUUCAAUCGAAGUCAUACUGUGCAAGUAGAGCAACAAUGAACAGUGGGGUGUGUAUUAAGGGGUCAAAUUACAGCAGCGAAAAAAGCGAUUACUAUGGACAAUUGCUUAAAGUUAUACGUUUGGAGUAUCCAGGUCUUCCAAUCAAGCGAGUUGUACUUUUCAAAUGCAAUUGGUUUGACCCCACUCCAAAUGUAGGCACAAAGAUCCAUAGUAAAUAUAAACUUGUCGAUGUGAAUCAUAAACGAUCUUUUAAUAGAUAUGAGCCUUUUGUGCUGGGAGUACAAGCAAUACAAGUGAUAUAUACUCUGUAUCCUAGCCUAAAGCGAGAUAAAAUUGAAUGGUGGGCUGCUAUAAAAGUCAAAGUACGUUCUGUAAUUCAACUUCCAACACAAGAAAAUACACAACCUGCUGAUGAACCAUUUCAACAAGAGGAAAUGGAACACACUGCCAUAAUUAGAGAAAUUGAUGAUUCAACACAACAAUUAAAUGAUCCAACUGGGGAUGUUAUUGAAAUUGAUGAUGGUGAAGAAAAUGAUGAAGAUGAAACUAUAAUAGCAACAUAAACAGAUGAUGAUGAUGAUGAUGACUUAGAUGUAGAUAGUGAAUAGAAGGUAUAACAUAAUUGAUAUCUAUUUUUACUUUUAGUUAUUAAAUAUGUUAACUACAUCUUGAUUUUUAUAAUGUAAAUUUGUACAGGAUGAGAGGACGAGGACGCGGAUCUUCAUCACGGGGUCGAGGAGACCAUGGCAGGGGUAGUGUCCACACAACUGAAUCAGAAAAUGUCAAUCAAGAUUUGGUACAACACACUGCUUUGAUUCCUAGACCAGACCAGGGUGAGAGAUCCACACCGGGUGCUGCAUCAUCCACUCCUGCUUCAGUGCACACAUCUGCUACUGCCUCAGCACCCAUAGGUUUGCCACCUAUUGCAUCUACGGCUACAUCUGCAUCUGCUUCUGGUAGUUGUGGACCUACAGGGCUCAGACCACAUAUUCACUUAGUAAACUCAGUGUGAGUAAAAUUUAUAAGUAUUUUUAACUAUGCAUUUAAUUUUUUUGCUUAUUUCAAAAUAAUUUUUUUUGUCAAUUAUUCUUUUACAGCAU